GAUGAACGCUAGCGACAGGCUUAACACAUGCAAGUCGAGGGGCAGCACAGGUAGCAAUACCGGGUGGCGACCGGCGCACGGGUGAGUAACGCGUAUGCAACUUACCUAUCAGAGGGGGAUAACCCGGCGAAAGUCGGACUAAUACCGCAUGAAGCAGGGGUCCCGCAUGGGGAUAUUUGCUAAAGAUUCAUCGCUGAUAGAUAGGCAUGCGUUCCAUUAGGCAGUUGGCGGGGUAACGGCCCACCAAACCGACGAUGGAUAGGGGUUCUGAGAGGAAGGUCCCCCACAUUGGUACUGAGACACGGACCAAACUCCUACGGGAGGCAGCAGUGAGGAAUAGUGGUCAAUGGCCGAGAGGCUGAACCAGCCAAGUCGCGUGAGGGAUGAAGGUUCUAUGGAUCGUAAACCUCUUUUAUAAGGGAAUAAAGUGCGGGACGUGUCCCGUUUUGUAUGUACCUUAUGAAUAAGGAUCGGCUAACUCCGUG
rnacentral:rRNA from 1 species